GACGAACGCUGGCGGCGUGCUUAACACAUGCAAGUCGAACGGAAAGGCCUGCUUUCCCUUGUGGAUUGCGGGUGCUCGAGUGGCGAACGGGCGAGUAACACGUGAGUGAUCUGCCCCCAACUUGGGUAUAAGCCUGGGAAACUGGGUCUAAUUCCCGAUAGGACUGCAGGGUGGUGCCUGUGGUGGAAAACGAUUUUCUAGUGGUUGGGGAUGAGCUCGCGGCCUAUCAGCUUGUUGGUGGGGUAAUGGCCUACCAAGGCGGCGACGGGUAGCCGGCCUGAGAGGGUGGACGGCCACAUUGGGACUGAGAUACGGCCCAGACUCCUACGGGAGGCAGCAGUGGGGAAUAUUGCACAAUGGGCGGAAGCCUGAUGCAGCGACGCCGCGUGGGGGAUGACGGCCUUCGGGUUGUAAACUCCUUUCGACCGCGAGGAAGCCACCUGGUUGGAAGGGUGGUGACGGUAGUGGUAGAAGAAGCACCGGCUAACUACGUG
rnacentral:rRNA from 1 species